UACGUAGGGCGCGAGCGUUGUCCGGAAUUAUUGGGCGUAAAGAGCUCGUAGGCGGUCUGUCGCGUCGGCUGUGAAAACCCGGGGCUCAACCCCGGGCCUGCAGUCGAUACGGGCAGACUAGAGUGCGGUAGGGGAGACUGGAAUUCCUGGUGUAGCGGUGAAAUGCGCAGAUAUCAGGAGGAACACCGGUGGCGAAGGCGGGUCUCUGGGCCGUAACUGACGCUGAGGAGCGAAAGCGUGGGGGAGCGAACAGG
rnacentral:rRNA from 1 species